rnacentral:rRNA from 1 species
UACGUAGGGAGCGAGCGUUGUCCGGAUUUAUUGGGCGUAAAGAGCGUGUAGGCGGCUGGGUAGGUCCGUUGUGAAAACUCGAGGCUCAACCUCGAGACGCCGAUGGAAACCCUCCAGCUAGAGUCCGGAAGAGGAGAGUGGAAUUCCUGGUGUAGCGGUGAAAUGCGCAGAUAUCAGGAAGAACACCCGUGGCUAAGGCGGCUCUCUAGUACGGUACUGACGCUGAGACGCGAAAGCGUGGGGAGCGAACAGG